GACGAACUCUGGCGGCGUGCCUAAUACAUGCAAGUCGAACGCAUUUUCUUUCACUGUAGCUUGCUACACCGAGAGAAACUGAGUGGCGAACGGGGGAGUACCACGUGGGUAACCUGCCCAUCAUCGGGGGAUAACACUUGGAAACAGGUUCUAAUACCGCAUAAUUCCAUUUACCGCGUGGUAGAUAGACGAAAGGCGCUUUUGCGUCGCCGAAUGAUGGACCCGCGGGGCAUUAGCUAGUCGGUGGGGUAGCGGCCUACCAAGGCUGCGAUGCAUAGCCGCCCUGAGAGGGUGGUCGGCCGCACUGGGACUGAGACACGCCCCAGUGUCCUACGGGAGGCAGCAGUAGGGCAUCUUCGGCAAUGGACGCAAGUCUGACCGAGCUGCGCCGCGUGAGUGAAGAAGGAUUUCGGGUCGUAGAACUCUGUUGUUAGAGAAGAACAAGGAUGAGAGUGGAAAGAUCAUCCCUUGACGGUAUCUAGCAAGAAAGCCACGGCUAACUACGUG
rnacentral:rRNA from 1 species